rnacentral:rRNA from 1 species
GACGAACGCUGGCGGCGUGCCUAAUACAUGCAAGUAGAACGCUGAAGAGAGGAGCUUGCUCUUCUUGGAUGAGUUGCGAACGGGUGAGUAACGCGUAGGUAACCUGCCUUGUAGCGGGGGAUAACUAUUGGAAACGAUAGCUAAUACCGCAUAACAAUGGAUGACACAUGUCAUUUAUUUGAAAGGGGCAAUUGCUCCACUACAAGAUGGACCUGCGUUGUAUUAGCUAGUAGGUGAGGUAACGGCUCACCUAGGCGACGAUACAUAGCCGACCUGAGAGGGUGAUCGGCCACACUGGGACUGAGACACGGCCCAGACUCCUACGGGAGGAAGCAGUAGGGAAUCUUCGGCAAUGGGGGCAACCCUGACCGAGCAACGCCGCGUGAGUGAAGAAGGGUGUCGGAUCGGAAAGCUCGGUUGUAAGUCAAGAACGAGUGUGAGAGUGGAAAGUUCACACUGUGACGGUAGCUUACCAGAAAGGGACGGCUAACUACGUG